ensembl:lncRNA
GACAUAAUUGGGGACAUCAUGGGGACAUCAUUGGGGUCCAUCUGUUGGGACAUCCAUGGGGACAUCAUUGGGGACAUCAUGGAGGACACAACUGGGGACAUCAUUGGGGACAUUAUUGGGGUCAUUGUUGGGGACAUCAUGGGGAUAUCAUUGGGGACAUCAAUGGGGACAUCAUGGGGACAUCUAUGGGGACAGCUAUGGGGACAUCAUGGAGGACAUCCAUGGGGACAUCAUUGGGGUCCAUCUGUUGGGACAUCCAUGGGGACAUCUAUGGGGACAUCAUGGAGGACAUCAUUGGGGACAUCAUUGGGGACAUCUAUGGGGACAUCAUGGGGGGACAUAAUGGAGGCCAUCAUGGGGUCGUUUUUGGGGUCAUUGUUGGGGUCGUUGUUGGGGACAUCAUGGAGGACACAAUUGGGGACAUCUAUGGGGACAUUAUUGGGGUCAUUAUUGGGGUCGUUGUUGGGGACAUCAUGGAGGACAUCAUGGAGGACAUCAUUGGGGACAUCCAUGGGGACAUCAUUGGGGUCAUAAUUGGGGUCGUUAUUGGGGACAUCAUGGAGGACAUCCAUUAGGGACAUCAUGGGGACAUCAUAGAGGACAUCUUUGGGGUCGUUUUGGGGGUCAUUGUUGGGGACAUCAUGGGGACAUCAUGGGGGCCAUCUUGGGGGCCAUCAUGGUGGACAUCACUGGGCUCGUUUUUGGGGUCAUUAUUGGGGCCAUCACGGGGGACCUCACAGAGUUCAUCCAUUGGGGUCUCCCACCUACGAGGACACCACGGUGCCCUCCUUGACCCCCCCUGACCCCUGACCUUUGACCCCUGACCCCAGACGGCCCCGAGCUGGAGGACGACACGGAGGUGGUGGCGGUGCCGGAUGGCGCCGAGGUGGCGGAGCUGCGGUGCCGAGCGCGGGGGGUUCCGCCUGUGGAGCUGAGCUGGGAGCACUACGGCCAAUCACUGCCGCCCGACGGCGACCGGUAACCAAUCAGAGCCUGGCAGGGUCAGCGGGAGCCAAUUAGAUUUACUUGGGGUGAACGGGAACCAAUCAGAGCCAGCUGGGGUCAACAGGAGUCAAUCAGAUUUAGUUGGGGUCAAAGGGAAUCAAUCAGAGCCAGCUGGGAUCAGCAGGAGCCAAUCAGAUUUGGUUGGGGUGAACAGGAACCAAUCAGAGCCAGCUGGGGUCAGCAGGAGCCAAUCAGAUUAAGUUGGGUUCAACAGGAAUCAAUCAGAGCCAUCAGGGAUAAGCAGGAGCCAAUCAGAUUUGGUUGGGGUCAACAGGAACCAAUCAGAGCCAGCUGGGGUCAAUGGGAACCAAUCAGAUUUAGUUGGGGUCAGCGGAAGCCAAUCAGAUUUAGUUGGGGUCAACAGGAACCAAUCAGAGCCAUCAG